CUUGACGGAACCCAGCAGCAACGGCCGCCCGCCCGGACGCUCCUGACCGUAGGUGGCCAGCAGCGACGUCACCUC
rnacentral:antisense_RNA from 1 species